rnacentral:lncRNA from 1 species
GAUGGAUGAGACAAGAUGAAAGUGGCUGAGUGAAGGUGUUUAUGUGAACGCAUAGGUUGAGAGAUAGGAGGUGUGCAACUGUAGCGAUACUAGUUUAGGAAAGGGAAGAGAGAAAUGGUUAAAAGUCAAAAUGAGUCUUUUUAGGGUUUACUUUAGGAUGGUAAAAAAAUUCAAUUGGGUUGUGUUUUCUUUUUAAUUUUUGUUUGGGUUUAGAUAAAUG